GAGUGCUGCAGUACUGGAAUGCGGGAGAUGGAGACAGGCGGCCUGCUGUGAUGCGCCGCAAAGCUUUGAAUACCUUCGAAUGUUUCUCACCGAAGCUUCGAAGCCCAAAAAAUGGUAUUCAGGACAGCCCUUGGGGGAAUUAAUACUUUUACGCAUUCCUGUUUCAGCAAUAGCAUGCCGAAUAAUGGCAGUAUUUAUAUCACGUCUGAUGCGAAAAUGUCUCAAAAAGCUCACAACUGCCCUUGUGGAUUUCAAUCAAGUCAGUGACCCAAAAUA